rnacentral:rRNA from 1 species
GGGCCCGCACAAGCGGUGGAGCAUGUGGUUUAAUUCGACGAUACGCGAAAAACCUUACCAGCUCUUGACAUGGGGAUUUUGGACCUUGGAGACAAGGUUCUUCGGUUCGGCCGGGUCCCACACAGGUGCUGCAUGGCUGUCGUCAGCUCGUGUCGUGAGAUGUUGGGUUAAGUCCCGCAACGAGCGCAACCCUUGUCCCUAGUUGCUAACAGGUUAUGCUGAGAACUUUAGGGAGACUGCCGGUGACAAACUGGAGGAAGGAAAGGAUGAUGUCAAGUCAUCAUGGCCCUUAUGGGCUGGGCUACACACGUGCUACAAUGGUGGUUACAAAAAGACGCAAUAGGGCGACCUGGAGCAAAUCUAUAAAAGCCACCUCAGUUCGGAUUGUUCUCUGCAACUCGAGAGCAUGAAGUUGGAAUCGCUAGUAAUCG